AUAGCCGACCUGAGAGGGUGAUCGGCCACAUUGGGACUGAGACACGGCCCAAACUCCUACGGGAGGCAGCAGUAGGGAAUCUUCGGCAAUGGACGAAAGUCUGACCGAGCAACGCCGCGUGAGUGAAGAAGGUUUUCGGAUCGUAAAACUCUGUUGUUAGAGAAGAACAAGGAUGAGAGUAACUGUUCAUCCCUUGACGGUAUCUAACCAGAAAGCCACGGCUAACUACGUGCCAGCAGCCGCGGUAAUACGUAGGUGGCAAGCGUUGUCCGGAUUUAUUGGGCGUAAAGCGAGCGCAGGCGGUUUCUUAAGUCUGAUGUGAAAGCCCCCGGCUCAACCGGGGAGGGUCAUUGGAAACUGGGAGACUUGAGUGCAGAAGAGGAGAGUGGAAUUCCAUGUGUAGCGGUGAAAUGCGUAGAUAUAUGGAGGAACACCAGUGGCGAAGGCGGCUCUCUGGUCUGUAACUGACGCUGAGGCUCGAAAGCGUGGGGAGCAAACAGGAUUAGAUACCCUGGUAGUCCACGCCGUAAACGAUGAGUGCUAAGUGUUGGAGGGUUUCCGCCCUUCAGUGCUGCAGCUAACGCAUUAAGCACUCCGCCUGGGGAGUACGACCGCAAGGUUGAAACUCAAAGGAAUUGACGGGGGCCCGCACAAGCGGUGGAGCAUGUGGUUUAAUUCGAAGCAACGCGAAGAACCUUACCAGGUCUUGACAUCCUUUGACCACUCUAGAGAUAGAGCUUCCCCUUCGGGGGCAAAGUGACAGGUGGUGCAUGGUUGUCGUCAGCUCGUGUCGUGAGAUGUUGGGUUAAGUCCCGCAACGAGCGCAACCCUUAUUGUUAGUUGCCAUCAUUCAGUUGGGCACUCUAGCAAGACUGCCGGUGACAAACCGGAGGAAGGUGGGGAUGACGUCAAAUCAUCAUGCCCCUUAUGACCUGGGCUACACACGUGCUACAAUGGGAAGUACAACGAGUUGCGAAGUCGCGAGGCUAAGCUAAUCUCUUAAAGCUUCUCUCAGUUCGGAUUGCAGGCUGCAACUCGCCUGCAUGAAGCCGGAAUCGCUAGUAAUCGCGGAUCAGCACGCCGCGGUGAAUACGUUCCCGGGCCUUGUACACACCGCCCGUCACACCACGAGAGUUUGUAACACCCGAAGUCGGUGAGGUAACCUUUUUGGAGCCAGCCGCCUAAGGUGGGAUAGAUGAUUGGGGUGAAGUCGUAACAAGGUAGCCGUAUCGGAAGGUGCGGCUGGAUCACCUCCUUUCUAAGGAA
rnacentral:rRNA from 1 species